ACCGAGGGGGAAAUAGGGUCUUUCUGUUCCCUCCUGUAGUUAUAAGUCACGAUGAAACUUAUUUUAACAAACAGAAUUAAAAAAAAAAAAAACACACAAUUCAUUCAAUAUCCUCUUUUCAUCCAUGAUAAUAAUAACAAGUCCUAUCAAUUAUAUCGUUUAAUAAUUUUAUCGUUAUCUAUCACAAUGAAAGAUAUCUUAAUUCGUGGUGAAUUUAUGAUUUUUGCAGGCAAAAUGUUCUAUUUCUUAUCACCAUACCACCGCUAUCCGCUAACCAUGGUACUAACAAUUGUUACCUAUUGACUGUAAUCUAAUCAGUUUGAUUACUUGAAUUUCUAAUUGCAA